UCGGAGCGAGAUGGGUUCCUGUGUUGCAUACAUCUUUAGACGGAGAUGUGUGCCUUCAUAGUCCUUUCCAUCACGAUUUCCUCUUGGAUGUUCGGUUGGACCGGAUAGUGGGGCUCGUGUUCCACGAACGUCGUCUCAUUCGAUCGUUCGGACGGAUCACGAGCGCCUACUCGUUCUCUCUGAUGCGGAACUCUCGUAAUGGGAGUGGGGUCAUUGGCCCUUGUUCCCUAAUCGUUAAGCGUUUAUCGCUUCACCCGAAGACGAUCUUGCCUUGUCCUUGAUCGCGCGAAGCCCUCGGGCAUCGCGCGGAUCAUGCUCGCGGACGUC
rnacentral:misc_RNA from 1 species